CGCACGCAGUUUCAGUAUUACACACAAUCGUUUAAAAUAACAAUUUUAAUUAACAAAGUCUUUGAAAAUCUUUCAUAUUUCUAUAAUAGUGUUGGAUUGAAUUUGUCAACAACAACUUCAUAUUGGUUUACACUAAUUCAGUGAAGUCAGAUGUUUGUCAUCAGACCGCCCCUCCGUGAUAUUAUUUGAGUCUCCUGCAUCCUUCCAGAUCUUUCUCCUUUCAAAAAAAUAUUUUCAGUACCAGACCAUCGUUUCUUCUCACCACAAAGACCAGCAAACUAUGUCAUGUUGAAAGCUGUCAUCAAAACUAUAAUCACGAGUGCAACAUGGCAGCACAGCCUUUAUGCAGGUAUGGUGAAGACAGAAAGAAAUUGGCUUCUCUAGAAGUUUGACUGAAGAACCACUUCAGUGAAAAGGAUUCAAUGGAUUUCAGUAUGGCUGAACAAGUCGAAAUCAAGAAUGAAGAGGAAGGCAAACCAACUGACCUGCCAGAUGAGAUUAAGGAUUGGAAUAAACAUCACGUGACACAAUGGGCUCUCGACAAGGCUUGUGUGGAUGGUGAAUCUGCAAAUAUCUUGCUUCAGCAGAACAUUAAUGGGCCCAGUCUUUUACUCUUAGAAAAAUCUGAUUUACUAGAGGUGGGUGUCAUACUGGGGCCUGCAAAGUUGAUCAUUCACAAGUGGGAUGAACUUUUGAAAUUUAAGAAAGAGCAGUUGAGUAGCCCAACAACAAAUCAGUCUGGGAGACCGUGCAAGCCGUACCCUUUUCAUCGACACCAUGAUGCCUGCAGAUACAAAGCGAACAGCGUUCUUGAUGUAACAGAAUCCGGUGCAUCAGACUAUAUCGAACCCUGUCAUGAAUAUAAAGGAUACAUCCAUAUGUCAGAGGCAGCUGUAGAGAGCAAAAUGGAAAAGUUAACUGAUGAGGUUAUUCGAUUUGCAGCAGCCUGCAUGAAUAGCCGCACUAAUGGCACCAUACAUUUUGGAGUUGGUGACAAGCCAGACUUUGUUCAUGGGGAAGUUUUGGGAGUUAGCGUCCUGGAUAAAGAGGCAUAUGUCAAUGCUCCGCCACAAGCCAUUGAGGGUCAUUUUGAGUAUAGACAUAUCCAGACAGCCAAGAUGUGCAUCAAACCACCUCGAUUUGUUGAGGUUCUCAACCCUGAUAUGACAUCCUCAGAGAAGUAUGUGAUAGAAGGCCAGCAUCCCGGAGUCGCCUCUUCACUUGACAUUAAGACUGGUGUUUUGCGGGUACUAUUUAAUGAAGCUGCCAGUUGAGGACUUGUGAGGUGUCUAUGUUCACCAACUCGUUAUCACAGGGCUCUCUCCCCCAGACGCUAACCCAAGCCUCCAUCUCGUAUACUUAAGAAAGAUAAAGAUCCGGCGGAAUGUGGUGGAUAUCGGCCCAUUUCACUUUUGAACGCUUAUGUUAAAUUAUUAGCUAAGGUUCUAGCAUGUCAGUUGGAACCCUGCCUUCAGGAUCUCAUAUCUGAUGAUCAAACGGGUUUCAUUAAAGGGUGACAACUGUUUUCCAAUGUACGACGGCUUUUGAAAAUUAUCCUGUCUCCUAUCUCCCCAGACCCCCAAAAAGUUGUUUCUCUUGAUGCGGAGAAGGCUUUCGACCGGGUGGAGUGUGAUUAUUUAUUUAAGAUUUUGAGAAGAUUUGGUUUUGGGUCCAAUUUCAUCUCAUGGAUACGUCUGCUCUAUUCUGCUCCUACGGCUAGUGUACACACAAACUUGCAACAUUCAGAAUACUGACCCCUCUCCAGAGGGACCCAUCAAGGGUGCCUUAUGUCCCCGAUCCUUUUUGCUUUUGCGAUAGAACCACAUUCCUUGGUCUUGAAUUUAUCACCAUCAUUCACUGGAAUCCACUGAGCUGGUGAAAAGCACAAAGUGUCACUGUAUGCAGAUGAUCUACUAUUACAUACAGUUGAAGUCGGAGGUUUACAUACACUUAGGUUAGAGUAAUUAAAACUUGUUUUUCAACCACUUCACAAAUUUCUUGUUAACAAAGUAUAGGUUUGGCAAGUCGGUUAGGACA